rnacentral:rRNA from 1 species
GUUUAAGCAGCCGCGGUAAUACGAAGGGGGCUAGCGUUGUUCGGAAUUACUGGGCGUAAAGCGCGCGUAGGCGGUUUUGCAAGCCAGAGGUGAAAUGCCUGAGCUUAACUUAGGAAUUGCCUUUGGGACUGCGAGGCUUUGAGGACGGGAGAGGUGAGUGGAAUUCCCAGUGUAGAGGUGAAAUUCGUAGAUAUUGGGAAGAACACCGGUGGCGAAGGCGGCUCACUGGCCCGUUUCUGACGCUGCAGCGCGAAAGCGUGGGGAUCAAACAGGAUUAGAAACCCGCGUAGUCC